GACCCUGUCUUUUAAAAAGAAAGAAAAAUAUGGACAGCAAAUAUUUACUAUGUAGAUGAUAUUAGAUGUGGUUUCUUUUUUUGGGACUGGGACAUAAAAUGGUCAGAUAUGUCCUUCUGAUAAGAAAUAGAGUACAGUAUAUCUUGGAAGAAUGUGUUGUGUCAGUAAGCCACCAACCUGAUUUUUAUGCUAAGUAUAAAGGAUAUGCAAGCAUGCAAAAAUAAUUGCAGUAGAGGAUGAAAUAUAGAGGGAAACAACAUAGGGAAGGAGGUAAUCCUCAAAAGAAUUUCUUGAGGAAAUUUGUAAGAAUUCUCAAGAAAACACCAGAGAAGUGGAUGAUAGUUCAGGGGUUAUACUAAUGUCCUGGUAUUUAUACCAGUAUAUAUAGAAUAUGGGGAACAUAAAGCUUAAUUAAGAGCUUGAGGCCGAGCGUGUUGGAUCAUUCCUGUAAUCCCAGCACUUUGGGAGGCUGAGGCAGGUGAAUCACCUAAGCCUGACCAACAUGGAGAAACCCCGUCUGUGCUAAAAAAUACAAAAUUAGCCGGACAUGGUGGUAAUCCCAGCUACUUGGGAGGCUGAGGCAGGAGAAUCGCUUGAACCCAGGAGGCAGAGGUUGGGGUGAGCUAAGAUUGUGCCAUUGCACUCCAGCCUGGGCAACAAGAGUGAGACUUUGUCUAAAAAAAAAAAAAACAAAAAAAACUUAGAGUCAGGUGUCAAAUAUAUUAGAGUUUAACUUCCCACUCCACCACUUACUAACAGUGUGACCUUGGGCAAGAUACUUUUCCUCCUCUAUAAAAUGAGGGUGAAAAUAAUUUAAUCUAUCACAUAAAGUUGUGAUAAGGAUUGAUAUAAUACAUGUAAAGUGGUUAACCAGUGUCUAGUACAUACUAAGUACUCAAAAAAUGUUGAAAGUUGUUAUUUUUGUUGUUAAUAUGAUUUAAUCAUCAUUACUAUUAGAAAUCUUAACACUAUUUAGUUAAUAAAAUCUAAGAGGUUUUAUAUUUCCAAGUUGAGGUCUGCAACUAGAAGUGAACUGGUAAAUGCUCUUUAAGAGGAAUAAACCUAGUAGAAGGAAAGAGAGAGCACCAUUGUGUGAAAUACUGGUAUGCCUACAUGGAAAUCAGUUAACUUAAAGGAAGCAUAGUGGAAAACAACUGGGAGAGGAUAAAAGAAGUUAGAGAAAUGAUGUCACUGUGGAAAUAUACAACUAGUCCAACGGAGUGUUUCUUGCUAAAUAAAUACAGCAAAACUAAAAUAGAUUUAUGAUAUAUUUGUCAUAAGAGGUUUGAACCAUUUAGAAACAUGGUAGAUGGAUUUCUUUGUCCCGGACAUAGUUUUAUCACCCAGAGGAUGGUGGAAGCAGUAAGUAGAAUUGCUAAGGAAGAAUAAGCUGUAUUGUGAGGAGUGAUAGAAAGUUCAGAAAGGAUUCAUAACAGUAAAGAAAGGUAAUGCUAGGAAAACAGGCUAAUUUAUAGGAAGGUUUUUUGGUUUUUUUUUUUUAAUUCAAAAGAAAAACAGGUAUCAUCCUGUGGUCCAAAGCUCUGAAGAAGAAAUAAAGAUGAAGUGAGUUUUUCCUGCAGGCGAAGCAAUAUGACUGUGCUUCCAUGAAGCAUACUUCCAUAGCAGUUUGACACUAGAGGGAGUGAUGGUAAGCGGAUGUUUGGCACCUAUUUUCGUGUUGGUUUUUAUGGAACCAAGUUCGGGGAUUUGGAUGAACAAGAAUUUGUUUACAAGGAGCCUGCAAUAACCAAACUUGCAGAGAUAUCUCACAGAUUGGAGGGAUUUUAUGGAGAAAGAUUUGGAGAGGAUGUGGUUGAAGUAAUCAAAGACUCUAAUCCUGUAGACAAGUGUAAAUUAGAUCCUAACAAGGCAUAUAUUCAGAUUACCUAUGUGGAGCCAUACUUUGACACAUAUGAGAUGAAGGACAGAAUCACCUAUUUCGACAAAAAUUAUAAUCUUCGCCGAUUCAUGUACUGUACACCCUUUACUUUAGAUGGCCGUGCCCAUGGGGAACUUCAUGAACAAUUCAAAAGGAAGACCAUUCUGACUACGUCUCAUGCCUUUCCUUAUAUUAAAACAAGGGUCAAUGUCACUCAUAAAGAAGAGAUCAUCUUAACACCAAUUGAAGUUGCUAUUGAGGACAUGCAGAAAAAGACACAGGAGUUGGCAUUUGCAACACAUCAGGAUCCCGCAGACCCCAAAAUGCUUCAGAUGGUACUCCAGGGAUCUGUAGGCACAACAGUGAAUCAGGGGCCUUUGGAAGUUGCCCAGGUUUUUCUGUCUGAAAUACCUAGUGACCCAAAACUCUUCAGACAUCAUAAUAAACUGCGACUCUGCUUUAAAGAUUUUACUAAAAGGUGUGAAGAUGCCUUAAGAAAAAAUAAGAGCUUAAUUGGGCCGGAUCAAAAGGAGUAUCAAAGGGAACUGGAGAGAAACUAUCAUCGCCUUAAAGAGGCCCUACAGCCACUGAUCAACAGAAAGAUCCCUCAGUUAUACAAGGCAGUAUUGCCUGUCACCUGCCACAGAUUCCUUUAGUCGAAUGAGCCUUCGCAAAAUGGAUCUCUAAACUGAAUGCACUUGUAUUAUUCAUCUGCAAAGAGCCAUGUAUUCAACAUCAAGUGUGAAAAGAUCUGUUGGAAAACAACAUGGAAUGGAAUUCUGGAAAUUAUUAUUCAUUGAAGAAUGCAGUGGCCAAGAAAAUAUCAAAUGUAGAUUGUUAAUGCUUGAGAAUCAUGGCUAUGGUUUCUAAUGUUCUGGUAACAAGCUGUUAUCUUUUAAGACAUUUUAAUGACUCAAAGGUACACUAUACAUUUACCAUUAUUUAUACCAUAGCUAACGUUAAAUUUAUUCACUUUAAGUUCGUAUUUUUUAAUUUAUAUUACCAUUUAUAGAUUCAUUUUGGAACCAUUUUAAAUGUAGUAAUGCUUAUUUUAAAGGUACUAUUAAAUAUGUGAAUGUUUACACUAAUUUUACUGAGUGGGACUUCAAAAUUUUUAUUAUUGACAAUGGCAGAGAACAAUUAAAGGGCUGACUCAAGAACUAGUUCCAAACCUAGCAAAAUAAAAAUCAUAGAUAGCCCAAAAUUAAAUAAAUGACUUUGGUAACUGUUUCAAAGUUAUUUUCCAUUUACAUACCCAAAAAAGGAAUUUAGAAUUGCAGAACUUUACUUAGUAAAACCUUUGUGUAAAAUAAUUUAAAUACUGGGAUAACUAAUACCAGUGACGACAGCUUAACUUGAUUAAAUCUUAUUACACCAAUGAUAGUAGUAUGAACUUCAUGAUUCUUAGCAACUAAAAUGAAUGAUUUCUGUUUCAAAUUAAAGCCAGCCAUCAGUUUUUGACGAUGUAAACCAGUAAAUUAGAACCUACUUAAAGCUAUCUUGUAGCACCAUGAAGAUAACACAGCUGGAGUUUGAGAAAUCACCUAUUUUCUGACACUUGUAGAGUUUAGAAGCAUAUAAAAAGUAAAAUUAGGUGCUUUAAUUCAUCUAAAAUUAUAUGAAAAAGUCAUACAGAAAAAAAUUUUGAGAAGUAACAUUUUAAUUCUUGGCAAGUUUUUCCAAAACAAUGCAUAGUAAUGAUUUCCAGAACAGUUUAGAACAAUGGUUUUUGAGUAGUAGUGCAGCUUACAGAAUGGCAUCAUUUAUAAUCCUUUUCUUCUACUGACCAGUUACAUGAAUCACUUA
rnacentral:sRNA from 1 species